UACGGAGGGUGCAAACGUUGCUCGGAAUCAUUGGGCGUAAAGCGCACGUAGGCGGCCGUGUAAGUCGGAUGUGAAAGGCCCUGGGCUCAACCCAGGAAGUGCAUUCGAAACUGCACGGCUUGAAUAUGGAAGAGGGUCGCGGAAUUCCCGGUGUAGAGGUGAAAUUCGUAGAUAUCGGGAGGAACACCAGUGGCGAAGGCGGCGACCUGGGCCAAUAUUGACGCUGAGGUGCGAAAGCGUGGGGAGCAAACAGG
rnacentral:rRNA from 1 species